CCUAACACAGUACUUGUUGACUCAAACAACAAUCGAUCCAAUAUGGGUUUCUGUAAACUAAGUCUCACCUCUUUGUUUAUGGGAGAGACACUCUUCAUCUGGUUCCUCUGACGAGACCUGUCCAGUAUGGUUCAACCUCUGGCAUAGCUCUCAUCUUCUGCAGAACACUCUAGCCAAAGUUUUGAGAUUGUCAGAUUGUUACCAUUUUACAAUAUAACCAGCUGAAAUAGAUUAAUUUCUGAAAGAAGAGACUCAGGAAAGAGCUCCCAGGCAGAUUAAAGAAGCCUAGGGGCAUAUGACAGCUAACACAGGAAGGAGCAGUGAUCCAGGUAUCAGAAAAGGUGCAGCAUCUGGACUAAUAACAGAAUAAAAAAUGUGUGAUAAAAUACGAUUAAGCCAAGUCUUCCUUUCCUUCUGAAACUGUCUAUCAUUUUAGCACAGCUUUGAAAUAUCUUGUCUUAGGUAUAGUUUUUAAAAAAUACCUUGCUUAUUCGCAAAAUAUCUGUGAUCUCAUCAGAAAAACUAAAAAAACUUCAAUACAUAAUUUUCCAAACAUAUCAU